AACGUAGGAGACAAACGUUAUCCGGAGUUACUGGGCGUAAAGGGCGCGUAGGCGGCCUGCUAAGUCGAACGUGAAAUCCCUGGGCUACAACCCAGGAACUGCGUCCGAUACUGGUUGGCUUGAAUCCGGGAGAGGGAUGUGGAAUUCCAGGUGUAGCGGUGAAAUGCGUAGAUAUCUGGAGGAACACCGGUGGCGAAGGCGACAUCCUGGACCGGUAUUGACGCUGAGGCGCGAAAGCCAGGGGAGCAACGGG
rnacentral:rRNA from 1 species